AUUGAACGCUGGCGGCAUGCCUUACACAUGCAAGUCGAACGGCAGCGGGGACUUCGGUCCGCCGGCGAGUGGCGAACGGGUGAGUAAUGUAUCGGAACGUACCUUUCAGUGGGGGAUAACGUAGCGAAAGUUACGCUAAUACCGCAUAUUCCCUGAGGAGGAAAGCAGGGGACCUUCGUGCCUUGUGCUGAUGGAUGGGCCGACAUCAGAUUAUAUAGUUGGUGAGGUAAAGGCUCACCAAGGCGACGAUCUGUAGCGGGUCUGAGAGGAUGAUCCGCAACACUGGGACUGAGACACGGCCCAGACUCCUACGGGAGGCAGCAGUGGGGAAUUUUGGACAAUGGGCGCAAGCCUGAUCCAGCCAUGCCGCGUGAGUGAAGAAGGCCUUCGGGCUGUAAAGCUCUUUCGGACGGGAAGAAAUUGGUGGGGCUAAUAUCCCCAUCGGAUGACGGUACCGUAAUAAGAAGCACCGGCUAACUACGUGCCAGCCGCCGCCGUAAUAC
rnacentral:rRNA from 1 species